CGUUCGCCGAAAGACCAAGGGUUCCAGUCCAACGUUAAUCGGGGCUGGGUGAGUCGACCCCUAAGGCGAGGCCGAAAGGCGUAGUCGAUGGGAAAAUGGUUAAUAUUCCAUUACUUCUGUGUAAUGCGAUGAGAGGACGGAGAAGGCUAAAUCAGCCUGGCGUUGGUUGUCCAGGUGAAAGGAUGUAGGCAUGUAUCUUAGGCAAAUCCGGGGUACUCUAUGCUGAGAUCUGAUAGCAAGCUGUACUUGUACAGCGAAGUGGUUGAUGCCAUGCUUCCAGGAAAAGUCUCUAAGCUUCAGUUACACAGGAAUCGUACCCGAAACCGACACAGGUGGUCAGGUCGAGUAGACCAAGGCGCUUGAGAGAACUCUGCUGAAGGAACUAGGCAAAAUGGUACCGUAACUUCGGGAGAAGGUACGCUGUUGUUGGUGAUGGAACUCGCUUCCUGAGCUGACGACAGCCGCAGAAACCAGGCCGCUGCAACUGUUUAUUAAAAACAUAGCACUCUGCAAACACGAAAGUGGACGUAUAGGGUGUGAUGCCUGCCCGGUGCUGGAAGGUUAAUUGAUGGGGUUAGCGUAAGCGAAGCUCUUGAUCGAAGCCCCAGUAAACGGCGGCCGUAACUAUAACGGUCCUAAGGUAGCGAAAUUCCUUGUCGGGUAAGUUCCGACCUGCACGAAUGGCAUAAUGAUGGCGGCGCUGUCUCCAGCAGAGGCUCAGUGAAAUCGAAAUCGCUGUGAAGAUGCAGUGUACCCGCGGCUAGACGGAAAGACCCCGUGAACCUUUACUGCAGCUUGACACUGAACUUUGACCUUACUUGUGUAGGAUAGGUGGGAGGCUUUGAAGCUGGAACGCUAGUUCCAGUGGAGCCGUCCUUGAAAUACCACCCUGGUAAUGUUGAGGUUCUAACUCUGUCCCGUGAUCCGGGACGAGGACCGUGUCUGGUGGGUAGUUUGACUGGGGCGGUCUCCUCCUAAAGAGUAACGGAGGAGUACGAAGGUGCGCUCAGCGUGGUCGGAAAUCACGCGUAGAGUAUAAAGGCAAAAGCGCGCUUAACUGCGAGACCCACAAGUCGAGCAGGUACGAAAGUAGGUCUUAGUGAUCCGGUGGUUCUGUAUGGAAGGGCCAUCGCUCAACGGAUAAAAGGUACUCUGGGGAUAACAGGCUGAUACCGCCCAAGAGUUCAUAUCGACGGCGGUGUUUGGCACCUCGAUGUCGGCUCAUCUCAUCCUGGGGCUGAAGCAGGUCCCAAGGGUAUGGCUGUUCGCCAUUUAAAGAGGUACGCGAGCUGGGUUUAGAACGUCGUGAGACAGUUCGGUCCCUAUCUACCGUGGGCGCUGGAAAUUUGAGAGGAUCUGCUCCUAGUACGAGAGGACCAGAGUGGACGAACCUCUGGUGUACCGGUUGUGACGCCAGUCGCAUCGCCGGG
rnacentral:rRNA from 1 species